rnacentral:rRNA from 1 species
CGAGAAAGUGGAGCAAUCCAUGAGUAAAGUGGCGUACGGGUGAGUAACACGUGGAUCAUCUACCUUCUAGUGGGGAAUACCUCCGGGAAACUGGAGACAAUACCGCAUAAGCUCGUAAGAGGAAAGCAGCAAUGCGCUGGAAGAGGAGUCCGCGGCUGAUUAGCUAGUUGGUGAGGUAACGGCCCACCAAGGCGAAGAUCGGUAGCCGGCCUGAGAGGGCACACGGCCACACUGGCACUGAAACACGGGCCAGACUCCUACGGGAGGCAGCAGUGGGGAAUCUUGCACAAUGGGGGAAACCCUGAUGCAGCGACGCCGCGUGAACGAUGAAGCCCCUCGGGGUGUAAAGUUCUUUCGACGGGAACGAUAAUGACGGUACCCGAAGAAGGAGCUGCGGCUAACUACGUGCCAGCAGCCGCGGUAAUACGUAGGCAGCAAGCGUUGUUCGGAAUUACUGGGCGUAAAGAGUGUGUAGGCGGUGCUCUAAGUCUGUCGUGAAAUCUCCCGGCUUAACUGGGAGGGUGCGGCGGAAACUGGAAUGCUAGAGGGUGGGAGGGGUAAGCGGAAUUCCUGGUGUAGCGGUGAAAUGCGUAGAUAUCAGGAGGAACACCUGCGGUGUAGACAGCUUACUGGACCACUUCUGACGCUGAGACACGAAAGCGUGGGUAGC